rnacentral:rRNA from 1 species
UACGGAGGAUCCAAGCGUUAUCCGGAUUUAUUGGGUUUAAAGGGUGCGUAGGCGGGACUUUAAGUCAGUGGUGAAAGUUUGCCGCUUAACGGUAAAAUUGCCAUUGAUACUGAAGUUCUUGAGUACAGAUGAAGUAGGCGGAAUGAGGAGUGUAGCGGUGAAAUGCGUAGAUAUUCCUCAGAACACCGAUUGCGAAGGCAGCUUACUAAGGUGUUACUGACGCUGAUGCACGAAAGCGUGGGGAUCAAACAGG